rnacentral:rRNA from 1 species
UACGUAGGGUGCAAGCGUUGUCCGGAAUUAUUGGGCGGAAAGAGCUCGUAGGCGGUUUGUCGCGUCUGCUGUGAAAACUCGGGGCUUAACCCCGGGCCUGCAGUGGGUACGGGCAGACUAGAGUGCGGUAGGGGAGACUGGAAUUCCUGGUGUAGCGGUGAAAUGCGCAGAUAUCAGGAGGAACACCGGUGGCGAAGGCGGGUCUCUGGGCCGUAACUGACGCUGAGGAGCGAAAGCGUGGGGAGCGAACAGG